UCCUAGCCCUGAUAGAAACGAAAUCCUUUUGUCCGCCGUGGAUAAGAGAUUUAGCGAAAACAGGAUUAAGC
rnacentral:sRNA from 1 species